rnacentral:rRNA from 1 species
UGGGGAAUAUUGCACAAUGGGCGCAAGCCUGAUGCAGCGACGCCGCGUGGGGGAUGACGGCCUUCGGGUUGUAAACCUCUUUCACCAUCGACGAAGGUCCGGGUUUUCUCGGAUUGACGGUAGGUGGAGAAGAAGCACCGGCCAACUACGUGCCAGCAGCCGCGGUAAUACGUAGGGUGCGAGCGUUGUCCGGAAUUACUGGGCGUAAAGAGCUCGUAGGUGGUUUGUCGCGUUGUUCGUGAAAUCUCACGGCUUAACUGUGAGCGUGCGGGCGAUACGGGCAGACUGGAGUACUGCAGGGGAGACUGGAAUUCCUGGUGUAGCGGUGGAAUGCGCAGAUAUCAGGAGGAACACCGGUGGCGAAGGCGGGUCUCUGGGCAGUAACUGACACUGAGGAGCGAAAGCGUGGGGAGCGAACAGGAUUAGAUACCCCCGUAGUCC